rnacentral:rRNA from 1 species
UGAGUGCGAGCUGCUACGGCAGCGAAGUUGGUGACGUCAAGCUUCCAAGAAAAGCCCUAUACCCGUUAAGGCAUCAUGGCCUGUACCCGAAACCGACACAGGUGGGGUGGUAGAGAAUACCGAGGGGCGCGAGGUAACUCUCUCUAAGGAACUCGGCAAAAUGGCCCCGUAACUUCGGGAGAAGGGGUGCCACCGCAAGGUGGUCGCAGUGAAGAGGCCCAGGCGACUGUUUACCAAAAACACAGGUCUCCGCUAAGUCGCAAGACGAUGUAUGGGGGCUGACGCCUGCCCAGUGCCGGAAGGUUAAGGAAGCUGGUCAGCGCAAGCGAAGCUGGCGACUGAAGCCCCGGUGAACGGCGGCCGUAACAAUAACGGUCCUAAGGUAGCGAAAUUCCUUGUCGGGUAAGUUCCGACCCGCACGAAAGGCGUAACGAUCUGGGCGCUGUCUCGGAGAGAGGCUCGGCGAAAUAGAAUUGUCUGUGAAGAUGCGGACUACGUGCACCCGGACAGAAAGACCCUAUGAAGCUUUACUGUAGCUUGGUAUUGUGCCCGGGCUCUGAAUGCGCAGGAUAGGUGGUAGGCUUUGAUCAUCGGCAUGCGGGUCGAUGUGAGCCAACGGUGAGAUACCACUCUUUCAGAGCUAGGGUUCUAACAGUCACCCGUUAUCCGGGGACUGGACAGUAUCAGGUGGGCAGUUUGACUGGGGCGGUCGCCUCCUAAAAGGUAACGGAGGCGCGCAAAGGUCUGCUCAGGCUGGUUGGAAAUCAGCCGACGAGUGUAAAAGCAGAAGCAGGCUUGACUGUGAGACCUACAAGUCGAACAGGGAGGAAACUCGGCUUUAGUGAUCCGACGGUUCUGCGUGGAAGGGCCGUCGUUCAACGGAUAAAAGUUACUCUAAGGAUAACAGGCUGAUCUCCCCCAAGAGUUCACAUCGACGGGGAGGUUUGGCACCUCGAUGUCGGCUCAUCGCAACCUGGGGCUGAAGUCGGUCCCAAGGGUUGGGCUGUUCGCCCAUUAAAGCGGUACGCGAGCUGGGUUCAGAACGUCGUGAGACAGUUCGGUCCAUAUCCGGUGCAUGCGCAGGAAUAUUGAGAGGAGUUCUCCCUAGUACGAGAGGACCGGGAGGAACGCACCUCUGGUGUACCAGUUAUCGUGCCAACGGUAAACGCUGGGUAGCCAUGUGCGGAGAGGAUAACCGCUGAAAGCAUCUAAGUGGGAAGCCCACCUCAAGAUGAGUAUUCCCAUGGCGUUAGCCAGUAAGGUCACGGGAAGAACACCCGUUGAUAGGCUCUAUGUGGAAGCGCAGUAAUGCGUGAAGC